ACACAUGCAAGUCGAACGGAAAGGCCCUUCGGGGUACUCGAGUGGCGAACGGGUGAGUAACACGUGGGUGAUCUGCCCCGCACUUUGGGAUAAGCCUGGGAAACUGGGUCUAAUACCGAAUAGGACCACGCGCUUCAUGGUGUGUGGUGGAAAGCUUUUGCGGUGUGGGAUGGGCCCGCGGCCUAUCAGCUUAUUGGUGGGGUAAUGGCCUACCAAGGCGACGACGGGUAGCCGGCCUGAGAGGGUGACCGGCCACACUGGGACUGAGAUACGGCCCAGACUCCUACGGGAGGCAGCAGUGGGGAAUAUUGCACAAUGGGCGCAAGCCUGAUGCAGCGACGCCGCGUGAGGGAUGACGGCCUUCGGGUUGUAAACCUCUUUCAAUAGGGACGAAGCGCAAGUGACGGUACCUAUAGAAGAAGCACCGGCCAACUACGUGCCAGCAGCCGCGGUAAUACGUAGGGUGCGAGCGUCGUCCGGAAUUACUGGGCGUAAAGAGCUCGUAGGUGGUUUGUCGCGUUGUUCGUGAAAACUCACAGCUUAACUGUGGGCGUGCGGGCGAUACGGGCAGACUAGAGUACUGCAGGGGAGACUGGAAUUCCUGGUGUAGCGGUGGAAUGCGCAGAUAUCAGGAGGAACACCGGUGGCGAAGGCGGGUCUCUGGGCAGUAACUGACGCUGAGGAGCGAAAGCGUGGGGAGCGAACAGGAUUAGAUACCCUGGUAGUCCACGCCGUAAACGGUGGGUACUAGGUGUGGGUUCCUUCCUUGGGAUCCGUGCCGUAGCUAACGCAUUAAGUACCCCGCCUGGGGAGUACGGCCGCAAGGCUAAAACUCAAAGGAAUUGACGGGGGCCCGCACAAGCGGCGGAGCAUGUGGAUUAAUUCGAUGCAACGCGAAGAACCUUACCUGGGUUUGACAUGCACAGGACGCCGGCAGAGAUGUCGGUUCCCUUGUGGCCUGUGUGCAGGUGGUGCAUGGCUGUCGUCAGCUCGUGUCGUGAGAUGUUGGGUUAAGUCCCGCAACGAGCGCAACCCUUGUCCUAUGUUGCCAGCGGGUUAUGCCGGGGACUCGUAGGAGACUGCCGGGGUCAACUCGGAGGAAGGUGGGGAUGACGUCAAGUCAUCAUGCCCCUUAUGUCCAGGGCUCCACACAUGCUACAAUGGCCGGUACAAAGGGCUGCGAUGCCGUGAGGUGGAGCGAAUCCUUUCAAAGCCGGUCUCAGUUCGGAUCGGGGUCUGCAACUCGACCCCGUGAAGUCGGAGUCGCUAGUAAUCGCAGAUCAGCAACGCUGCGGUGAAUACGUUCCCGGGCCUUGCAAACGCCGCCCGUCA
rnacentral:rRNA from 1 species